rnacentral:rRNA from 1 species
AACAAACGCUGGCGGCGUGCCUAACACAUGCAAGUCGUACGAGAAAAUUGGCUUCGGCCGAUGAGUAAAGUGGCGCACGGGUGAGUAACGCGUGGAUAAUCUGCCCCUCAGUUGGGAAUAACUCAUCGAAAGGUGGGCUAAUACCGAAUAAUACUGUGAGACCUCGGUCGAUCAGUCAAAGAGAGCCUCUGCUUGCAUGCCCUCGCUGAAGUAUGAGUCCGCGUACCAUUAGCUAGUUGGUAGGGUAAUGGCCUACCAAGGCGACGAUCUAUAGCUGGUCUGAGAGGACGAUCAGCCACACUGGGACUGAGACACGGCCCAGACUCCUACGGGUGGCAG